AAAAAUACGACCCAAAAAUUUCAUUUUUCAAUAUAACCAAAAACCAUAAAUCUGAGUAUCAUAUCAUAAAACCACACACUAUGUAUCUCAACCAUAGUAAAAAUACUGUGAGGAAAUCUGUAUCAUAACUAUAACAUAUCAAAAUCAAGAAACUGAAUCAACUCCCAGGAUGAAAACUGAAGCUGUGGUGUGUGCGAUGCCAUCAUCCCGAGCUCUUCCCUUUGCUUGCGGAAGUACCUGAAACCAAAACUGAAACUGUAAGCACGAAGCUUAGUGAGCUCCCCCAAACUACCACAUACCAUACAAUACAUAUAAAACACAUACUGGGCCUUGCCCACUGCAUCGGACCGAAGUCCGGAACUAGCUGCAUCGGACCAAAGUCCGGAACUGACUGCAUCGGACCGAAGUCCGGAACUAACUGCAUCGGACCGAAGUCCGGAACUGACUGCAUCGGACCUAAGUCCGGAACUAACUGGAUCGGACCGAAGUCCGGAACUGACUGCAUCGGACCGAAGUCCGGAACUACUCAUCAUAGCAUGGCAUAACACAUAGCAACUAACAUAAACACACAUAUUGCAUUCUGCAUCGACCAUAGUCCGGAACAUAUAACACACAACGUGCUUGAAUCACGGAGACAUCAAGCAUAUUGAACUACUACUUCGGACUGAAGUCUGGAACUACUACUAACUAAAUGGGCCGGCAUUGUGGCCGUAGACCCGUUUCUAUUGGAAGGAAACUCACCUCGUGAACUGGCUGCUCUGUGUAUGGCUUUGAAAGCUAUAUGCUGCUUCUCCGGUAUCUCCCCGGCUACAAGUCCAUAAACACACUCAAUCAAUGCUAAUCACUGCACUGGGGUAAAAUGACUCUUUACCCUUGGUCAAAGUCAACUCUCCUGAUCAAAGUCAACUCUCCUGGUCAAAGUCAACCCACAGUUGACCUGACUCGCCGAGUUGGGCCGCUAACUCGCCGAGUCCCUAUUCUCACUUCUCGACCCUACUCGCUGCUACUCGUCGAGUAUGGCAUCAACUCGACGAGUUCCCUUUCGAAUCUAAAACUUAAGGCAAUCUGCAUUCGACUCGCCGAGUCGUAUGAACAACUCGACGAGUUGUUCUUCGAGCUAAGAAGAUUGCCUUGGACUCGCCGAGUUGUAUGAACAACUCGCCGAGUCCCUCCAUUACUGAGUCUGACCUCAAACUCGCUGAGUCCACUCAACCACUCACUAGUCCUACUCGGCAUCACUCAAAAAGGGAAAAUCGGGGACUCUCGACUCGACUCGCCGAGUCGAUUCCAUGCAACAACUCAAAACUCGAUUCUGCUUGAAUCCAGUGUAUAGAACUUAUAGAUCUGGACUCCCUUAACUCGAUUGGCACGUAAAGAUUCUAUCUUUACGUGCCCAUAUGCAUCCAUGAAGAUAAAAUAGCUCAAAAAGCAUAAUAAAGGCUAGAUCUAGGGUUUUCAUGCAAAGUAUCUUCAAAAAGGCAAUAGAUCCGGGCUCUACAACUCCUAAAUGAACAGAUCUAAGGAUAUCUCGACCUAUUAGGGCAUCCAUACAAUCAUAAGGCUUGAGAAAAGCAUCAAACUAGUUCUAGAAGAGUUCUAAUGGAGGUUUAAAGCAUAAAACGGGAGGAAAUCCGAAGAAUACCUCAAUGAACUCUGAUUUGCCCUUGGAUCUUUGCUCUACACCUCUUCUCCUUGCUCCUUUCUUCUUCUUCUUCUUCAAGCCUUCAAAAUUUCACACAAGAACACUUAGAUCACUCAAGGAUGGAUUAGGGUUUUCUCACAGCUCUCUGAGGGUGAAGGAGGCGAGAUUGGGGGCUAUAAGGUGGUUUAAAUAGUGAGCAACCCGGGGAUUUAGGGUUUCUUCCAGGCAGGCAGACUCGCCGAGUCCCGAAUAUGGACUCGCCGAGUCGCCGACUAACACGUGCUCGAAAUCCCGUCCCUACUCGGCGAGUCAGACUAUGAACUCGCCGAGUCCCUCUUGUAAACUUCAAAAUAAAUACCAUGGAAUCAUCAUACCGGAGACGGGUCGUUACAAUUCUCCCCCACUUAUCUCAGACUUCGUCCUCGAAGUCUGCUACGGCUGAAUCUACAAAUAUCUCUGGGUAGUGCUCUCUCAUCUCCUCCUCAGCCUCCCACGUCCACUCAGACCCCUUCCGGUGUUGCCACUGCACCUUCACUAACUGAAUUUCCUUGUUCCUCAAGGUCUUUGUCUUCCGGUCCAGAAUCGCGACCGGCCUCUCAAUAUAAUUCAGGCUGCUAUCAACCUGAAUAUCCUCUAGGGGAACGACUGCUGACUCAUCCACCAAACACUUCCUCAACUGAGACACAUGGAAAGUGUUGUGGAUCUGACUAAGCUCCUCAGGAAGAUCCAACCGAUAAGCAACCCGACCCACCCGGGCCAAAACCCUGAAAGGACCAAUAAACCUGGGACCCAACUUGCCCCUCUUCCGGAACCUGAUGACACCCUUCCAAGGUGAGACCUUCAGAAGGACCAUAUCACCCACCUGGAACUCCAAGUCUGAACGCCUCCUGUCGGCGUAGCUCUUCUGCCGACUCUGCGCAGUCUGCAGUCUACUACGGACCUGCUGGAUCAACUCGGUCGUCUUGAGCACCACCUCUGUGCUCCCAAUGACUCGCUGACCGACCUCGCCCCAACAAAUCGGGGUCCUACACUUCCUCCCAUAAAGCAUCUCAAAGGGAGGUCGAUCAAUGCUCGCAUGAUAACUGUUGUUAUACGAAAAUUCCGCUAACGGAAGAUACGUAUCCCAACUGCCACCGAAAUCUAGAACACAUGCCCUAAGCAUGUCCUCGAGAGUCUGAAUCGUCCUCUCGCUCUGCCCGUCCGUCUGAGGGUGGAAAGCGGUGCUGAAAUGGAGACGAGUACCCAUCUCGUCGUGGAACCGCUUCCAGAAUCUGGAUGUAAAACGGACAUCUCGGUCUGACACCACCGAUACCGGCACUCCAUGACGUGCCACGAUCUCACGCACAUAGAUAUCGGCUAACUUUUCUGCCGAUAUACUCUCCUGGAUCGGGAUAAAAUGAGCACUCUUCGUCAACCGAUCCACUACUACCCAUAUCGAAUCCACUCCUCGUGCGGUCCUGGGAAGCUUGGUGACAAAAUCCAUGGUGAUGUCCUCCCAUUUCCACACGGGAAUGUCUAACGGCUGCAUCUUGCCGUGAGGCCUCUGGUGCUCCGCCUUGACCUUCCUGCAGGUCAGGCAUCUCUCAACAUACCAAGCGACAUCCCGCUUCAUGCAGGGCCACCAAUAAUCGGGUCGAAGAUCUCUAUACAUCUUCGUCGCCCCUGGGUGGAUAGAAAAUCGAGACUUAUGAGCCUCGUCCAUCAACACCUGCCGUACUCCACCCCAGUACGGUACCCACACCCUCCCGUGAAGCGUCAGCAAUCCCCGACCGUCAUAAUCAAACGAAGCUACUCGUCCCACUAUCCUCUCACACUUCUGCCUCUCCUCCUUGAGGCCCUCCACCUGAGCCUCCUUGAUCCGCUCCAACAACGGAGUGAUCACUGUCAUCCUCAAACACAGAUCUCUGAUAGGGGCCGCCGACACUUUGCGGCUUAGGGCGUCGGCCACCACGUUGGCCUUCCCUGGAUGGUAAAGGAUCUCACAAUCAUAAUCCUUUAGCACAUCCAACCACCUCCUCUGCCUCAUGUUCAGACUCGGCUGAUCCAUAAGGUACCUCAAACUCUUGUGAUCCGUGUAGAUAGUACAACGGACCCCAUAAAGAUAAUGCCUCCAAAUCUUGAGGGCAAACACAACCGCCCCCAGCUCUAAAUCAUGGGUAGGAUAGUUAGCCUCGUGAGGCUUCAACUGUCUCGAGGCGUAAGCUAUCACAUGGCCUCGCUGCAUCAACACUGCUCCCAUACCUGUGAUUGAGGCAUCACAGUAGACUACGAAGUCCUCUACUCCCUCUGGCAAGGUAAGGAUCGGAGCCUCGCACAAUCUCUGUCUGAGGGUCUCGAACGCUGCCUGCUGCUCAGGCCCCCAACGAAAUACCACCGACUUCUUGGUCAGUCGGGUGAGCGGCACUGCUAUCUUGGAGAAAUCCUGAAUAAAUCUCCGAUAAUACCCUGCCAACCCUAGGAAGCUCCGAAUCUCAGAUGGAGACUUCGGGACCUCCCACUGCAUCACGGCCUCUAUCUUGGCCGGAUCUACCAAAAUACCCUUCUGGUUGACGAGGUGACCAAGGAACUGCACCUCGCGCAACCAGAACUCACAUUUGGAGAACUUUGCGAAAAGUCUCUCCCUCCUCAAAACCUCCAGCACCUCCCGCAGGUGCUCCUCGUGCUGCUCCUGCGUCUUGGAAUACACCAAGAUAUCAUCUAUGAAUACUAUCACUGACCGAUCCAGCAUCGGCCUGCACACGCGAUUCAUGAGAUCCAUGAACGCGGCUGGAGCAUUGGUGAGCCCAAAUGGCAUCACCACAAACUCAUAAUGACCAUACCUGGUCCUGAAAGCAGUCUUCUGUACAUCCUCAUCUCUAACCCGCAUCUGAUGAUAACCGGAGCGUAGAUCGAUCUUGGAGAACCAAGACGCUCCCUGAAGCUGAUCAAACAAAUCAUCUAUCCUCGGAAGUGGGUAACGGUUCUUCACCGUUACCUUAUUCAACUCCCGAUAAUCUAUACACAUACGAUGCGACCCAUCCUUCUUCCUCACAAACAGGAUCGGCGCUCCCCAAGGCGAACUGCUCGGCCGAAUGAAACCCUUGUCUAACAGCUCCUGCAGCUGUGUAGACAACUCCUGCAUCUCAGGGGGAGCUAGUCGAUACGGUGCCUUGGCUAUCGGAGCCGCACCAGGAAUGAGGUCGAUCCUGAACUCAACCUGUCUCUCAGGAGGUAUCCCCGGCAAAUCCUCGGGAAACACGUCCGGGUAGUCUCGAACAAUAGGAACAUCAUCAACUGUCGUCUUGCCCUUCUCCCGGGCAUCCAAAACGUAAGCUACAAAACCGGCGCAACCCUGCUGAACAUAGCGCCUCGCCCUUGCGGCGGAACAAAAGGUCGGUCCUCGCUGUGGCCUCUCGCCCUGAAUCACUAACUCUCCCCCACUGGGAGUGCGAACCCUCACUAGCUGAAGCUCACAAUCAAUCACCGCCCCAUUGGGGCUUAGCCAAUCCAUGCCCACAAUAACCUUAUUCCCUCGCAGGGGAAUAGGUACCAGGUCCACUGAAAACUGCUCAUCAAACAACUGAAGAGAACACCCUCUAUGCACUCUGCCGACCCUCACGGUCCUAUCAUCUGCUAUCUCAACCUCUAAUGGACAAUCCAGCUCCCCUGGAGCUCUACUAAAUCUCUUGCUAAGCGCAAGCGAUACGAAUGAUCGGGUAGCCCCCGAAUCGAAUAAUACCAUAGCAGAAAUGCCGUUCACAGAGAACGACCCUGAAUAAAACAUACAAUCAUAAGCAAUAUUCAAUCAAUAAUAAUAAAGAGAUAAAGGGAAGAUACAUACCCGUCACCACAUCAGGAGUCGCUCGCGCCUCCUCUGCUGUCAUCUGAAACGCCCUACUCUUCGCCACUGGCGCAUCAGCUCGGCCCUGCCGGCCAUCUGUAAUCCUCAAGGUAGCAGGGGCAGGUGCAGCCACCUUCCCUGCUGCAGCUAAACUCGGACACUGGGACUUUUUAUGUCCCCUCUGAUUGCACUGAAAGCAAAUCAGAUCUGAUGCUGCGACGGCAGUAGCAGGGGCCGUACAAUCCCUACUCAAAUGCCCAAUCCGACCGCACUUGUAGCAGCCGGAACUCCCUGCCUUGCACGCUCCCUCGUGCAAUCUCCCACACUUGCCACAUCGACCGUGGCUCUGCUGACUCCUAGAUCUGUGAUCUGAAACCUUGGGCUUUUUGCCCGAACCGCCUGAACCCGAAACCGCCUCCGGUUUCCUCUUCUUCUCCAUCUCGAGAUCAAUCUCCCUCUCCCGAGCCCUAGCAAUCAUAUCUUCCAGCGUUUUACAGCUGGACCGGCUCACAAACUGGCGGAUAUCGCUCCGCAACAUCUCAUGAUAACGGGCCUUCUUCAUUUCCUCAUCAGCUACAUACUGAGGAACGAGAAGAGCCCUCUCCCUGAACUUGGCGGUGAUCUCCGCCACUGUCUCUGUAGUCUGGGUGAGGUCCUGAAACUCCCUAGCUAGCUGUUGCACCUCAAUGACCGGUGCAAACUCCGCCCUGAACCUGGUAGAGAAAUCAGCCCAGGUCAUGGCGUCCAAUGCUGCAUCAUCCCCAAUGGCAUGCCCGACCUCCUCCCACCAAUCUCGUGCCCUGUCCUUCAGAAGACAGGACGCCAAUCUGACCUUGUCCCCCUCGGGACAUCUGCUAGUACGGAAAGCGUUGGCCACAUCUGCCAACCAUCUGGUGCUCGCUAUGGGGUCCCGCGCCCCAUGAUAGUCCGGGGCUCCACAUGCCCUGAACUCCCUGAAGGUAAGGGUGCGCGACCCCAUCAUGGCCGCCACCUCGGCACGGAAGGUGCCCAGUCUCUCAUCCAUCAGCUCUAGAAUCCCCUCCUUGAUCGAACCGAAGAUCACAGGAGUCUGCUCUAUAAUGAUGCGCGUAAUCUCCGAAGAAAGAAACUCUCGGGUCUGCUCAUCCAUGCGCUCAUCCCCCGAACCUGAACCUGAUCCCUCCCCGGCACCUCCGCUGCCGGCUGCUGGUCUCGAACGCAAAACCACCAUUCUGAAACACAUCACAACUACAUCAGAAAACAGAAAUAUCUUGAGGGAUCAUUGAUACUACAACUAGCUUCCUGGUCUUGUCUCAGCCUUUCUUGAUUCGAGUACGGAUCCUCUGCUUCCAGUAGUACGGGCCCAUACUACCUUCCACAUCUAUCCGUACUUUCUUCAAGAACUGCCCUGACUCCACCAAGUCACUUCUACUACUACUGAUCUCUGCUACUCUCAUCCUAGGCUUGCCCCAGGGAAACCUCAGACUCAACUCAACUAGUCCUCAGCUGCUGCAGGUCUCCUUAUAAUGCUAAUUAACCAUCACCUGAACACCAUCACAUGUGACGAAGAUCAGAUAAUCCUUCAAGUAAAAGACCCGUCCCUAUAACGGUUGGACUCAAACAAGAGCUGCGCAAUAGGGUCAGUUCCAGCACUCUGGGAUUAUUCAACCCUGAUCACAUGUGGUGUAUCGUGUUCACCUAAUGGCUAACUUCCAUCACUCAGAAUUCCCACAAAGCACGAAGCAGGCAGCAUUCGGAUAAAGGAAACAUACUCAGGCAAAACUAUUCUCAAAAUGAGAAACUGAUCUAGCAUACAGUGCUAAGCUCAUACUAUCAGGCAUAACCUAAACAGGCUAUCCUACUGCUGUCUACUCAAUACUAGCAUGCAAUACUCAUAAAGCUGUAACACAUAAAGCAGGCACAUAAGGCAUCCUCCUAGAUCCUUAGUCCUAUACUAGCAUGCUGUUCUACUGAAACUGAAACUGAACAAAUAACUUGUAUGGGUAAUUUGGGAGUACUUACUUGAGCUCGGCUGAUCGCAUGCACCACACCCUUAUCUCGUUUAAAAAUUUCUUUCUUUCUAAGUGCUUUCAAAAAAAAAUUUAGAAAACAUUUUCCUUUUUUAAAAAUCUUUCUAUGUUCCCCUUAGUUUGAGUUCAGAUACACCUGAAAGUGUAUCCGAAUCCCUCAAACCAAGGCUCUGAUACCAACUUGAAACGACCCAAAAAUUUCAUUUUUCAAUAUAACCAAAAACCAUAAUCUGAGUGUCAUAUCAUAAAACCAUACGUGAUGUAUCCCAAACAUAAUAAAAACACUGUGCGGAAAACUGUAUCAUAUCUAUGUCAUAUCAAAAUCAAAAACUAAAUCAACUCCCAGGAUAAAAGCUGAAGCUGUGGUGUGUGCGAUGCCAUCAUCCCGAGCUCUUCCCUCUGCUUGCGGAAGUACCUGAAACCAAAACUGAAACUGUAAGCACGAAGCUUAGUGAGCUCCCCCAAACUACCACAUACCAUACAAUACAUAUAAAACACAUACUGGGCCUUGCCCACUGCAUCAGACCGAAGUCUGGAACUAGCUGCAUCGGACCGAAGUCCGGAACUGACUGGGACCUUGUCCCCUGCAUCGGACCAGAGUCCGGAACUAACUGCAUCGGACCGAAGUCCGGAACUGACUGCAUCGGACCUAAGUCCGGAACUAACUGCAUCGG
rnacentral:lncRNA from 1 species